rnacentral:snRNA from 1 species
AUCUCUCAGCCUUUUGGCUAUGAUCAAGUGUAGUAUUUGUUCUUAUCUGUUUGAUACUCCGUAUCUUGUAUGUGGGUCACUAACUCACAAGUGUCACCCAUUCUUUUCACUACUCUAC